UACGGGGGGGGGUAAGCGUUGUUCGGAAUUACUGGGCGUAAAGGGCUCGUAGGCGGCCAACUAAGUCAGACGUGAAAUCCCUCAGCUUAACUGGGGAACUGCGUCUGAUACUGGAUGGCUUGGAUUCGGGAGAGGAAUGCGGAAUUCCAGGUGUAGCGGUGAAAUGCGUAGAGAUCAUGAGGAAGACCAGUGGCGAAGGCGGGUCUCUGGACAGUUCCUGACACUGAGACACGAAGGCCAGGGGAGCAAACGGG
rnacentral:rRNA from 1 species